GACGAACGCUGGCGGCGUGCCUAAUACAUGCAAGUAGGACGCAGUUGCGAACGGGUGAGUAACGCGUAGGUAACUACCUAUUAGAGGGGGAUAACUAUUGGAAAAGAUAGCUAAUACCGCAUAAUAGAGGAUGGACCUGAGUUGUAUUAGCUAGUAGGUAGGGUAAUGGCCUACCUAGGAAACGAUACAUAGCCGACCUGAGAGGGUGAUCUGCCAAACUGUGACUGAUACACGGCCCAGACGCCUACCGGAGGCAGCAGUAGGGAAUCUUCGGCGAUGGAGAGAACCCUGACCGAGCAACGCCGCGUGAGUGAAGACGGUUUUCGGAUCGUAAAGCUCUGUUGUUAAGGAAGCGGUACUUAACCCGAAAGCGACAGCUAACUUCGUGCCAGCAGCCGCGGUAAUUC
rnacentral:rRNA from 1 species